GUACUUUGAAAUAACGGCCGUUGUUCGGCCUGCCACUGGAUAUCGUCAUUUCACACCCCAGUAAAAAGGCACAUGUGUUCUUCCAUCAAAUACAGGUUUUGCUGGUUGGCCGCCUGUAUUUCAUAAUAUCGUGGACGGCAUAUGCCUGCGUAUCUUACCUUAUUCUGAGAAGGAUUCACAAGGCUGCCAAAGGUGGCCGAGGUACCAAACAUCGUUGAGAACCCCGUUAACUGUACAGUUUCGGGGGGAGCUGCGAAGCCUAAACAGAUAAACAUCAGUCCAAGGUGGUGAAUGGCAGCUAGAGAUACACCCAGCAGCUACAGGAACCCAAGGAGGGGAUUGACUCCGCUUCGGAGAUUCCUGAGCUGCAUCUGGAAUGAAGCCUGAAGAGGAGGAGAGAGAAGCAGGAGGUCACUUGCCGGGAGGGACCUGAACGAGCACGGGACCCCGAAGCCACCAGGCCUCUGUGGAAGCAAGGAGUACCGAGUGUGAAAAGCUUCCUUGCUGUGCUGAGCCCUGGGGGUUCAAAAAUGAAUCAGCGACAGUCUGCAUGGUCGAUGCCAACAUCCGGGUUGACUGCUUUCAGUUGAAUUCAACAACCAAAUGCCUGUUUUGUGCAAGGCUCUUUUCCAGGCACCGAGGAAGCAGCAAGCUGGAUAAAUCCUGGAGGUUCCUCCAGCCGGUGGGACAAAAGAACCAAGUGAGAAUUGAAUGGUGUUUCUUACUGUCUUUUGGCUGAUGGAAAGUUUGAGAAUCUGAUGGAAGUUAUGAGUCUUCUCUCUCUCAAAAAAAAAAACAAAACAAAGCACGUAUGUGCACACACACGCAGUUUUGCAAUGAUUUUAGAGUAUUUGGAGAUCUCCCUCCAUCCCCCACCAAGUUUGUCCAUAGAAUGACCUUAGGGUGAGUAUUUUGGGCAUGAAAUGAAAUAGUAAUGCCUUGAAGGAAGCACAAAGCCAUAGUCACUGACUAGAAAGAGAGAUUAGAGAUAAGAUCCAGGUGGGUCAGAGGGGCCGGUGGGGUUGGUAGGAUAGGUAUGUUUUGAUAGACAGGCCUGUCUAGUUAGAGGUCAGGUAUUAGUCUCUGGGAGGCAGCAUUCCAGCAGACGGAAAAGUCUGAGAAAGGGAAGGAGGGUAGGAAGUAGGAAAACUCAAACAAUCCGACAAGCUGAGUUUGGCAGGAGGAAGGUUACAUGACGAGGAAUCAUCAGAAUCAUUAGAAACAAUCACAGAAAGGCAGAGGUCGUAUUUUGAGUGACAUUGGAAGCAAGGUGAGGAUUCUCCCACCCAUCCUCCCCCCAGUAAAAUAUCUGUAAUUCCUUUUAUUUAGUUAUUUUUUUUAGGUAAGGGUUUUGGGGUAUGAUUAAUACAUACUCACUGUAAUGAAUUAAGGAAUAGCAAAAAUCAGAAAUUCUCAUAGAACUUGAUCUCUGCUAAUUGUUGGUAUGUUUUAUUCUAGUUUCUGCACAUCCUCAUUCAUCAUCACUGUCCCAACUCAGACCCACCACCCUUGUUAUAAAAUAAGUCCUGUAAAUUUACCAGUUUUUAUAACUCUUCUCCAUGUUUAUGUUCAUUUAAAGCAUAAUAAACAUUUCAUACAAAU
rnacentral:lncRNA from 1 species